GGCCAUGUGGCACAGUGGUUUGAGUGUUGGAUGAUGAUUCUGGAGACCAGGGUUCGAUUCUCAGAUCGGCCA
rnacentral:tRNA from 1 species